GAUGAACGCUGGCGGCGUGCCUAACACAUGCAAGUCGAGCGAUUCUCUUCGGAGAAGAGCGGCGGACGGGUGAGUAACGCGUGGGUAACCUGCCCUGUACACACGGAUAACAUACCGAAAGGUAUGCUAAUACGAGAUAAUAUGCUUUUAUCGCGUGGUAGAAGUAUCAAAGCUCCGGCGGUACAGGAUGGACCCGCGUCUGAUUAGCUAGUUGGUAAGGUAACGGCUUACCAAGGCGACGAUCAGUAGCCGACCUGGGAGGGUGAUCGGCCACAUUGGAACUGAGACACGGUCCAAACGCCUACGGGAGGCAGCAGUGGGGAAUAUUGCACAAUGGGCGAAAGCCUGAUGCAGCAACGCCGCGUGAGCGAUGAAGGCCUUCGGGUCGUAAAGCUCUGUCCUCAAGGAAGAUAAUGACGGUACUUGAGGAGGAAGCCCCGGCUAACUACGUGCCAGCCGCCGCGGUAA
rnacentral:rRNA from 1 species